CCUGAGAAACCCAAAAGAUCGAAUGGGGAGACUCAACGACUGCGAUCCUGGCGCUCGUGCGGUUCGCGAUGCUACGGGGCCUCGGUCCUGGGGCACGCGUCCGUAUGUGCUUAUUCGCCGGGUGUCGCCGUCGCGCACUUCUCCCCUAGUAGGACGUCGCGACCCGUUGGGUGUCGGUCUACGGCCCGGGUGGGAGCCUGUCGUUUGUUACGCCUCGCGGCGUCAUGCGGCAGACCCCCGGUUGCCCGACCAGCUACCCGGCGGUACUCGCACGGUAUCGGGCCGCAAAUAUUCGAACUGCGUCAGGCCCGUCGCAAGCGGGGCCAGUGUCUUACCCGGAUGCACGGACCUAGAGCCGUCACCGGGCCUGGCCGGCUGUUGGCUGACGGUGUCCUAAGACAGGCUCUUUCAAUUAUGAUACCGGUCGGCGACGCUACUGCUUUGGGUACUUUCAGGACCCGUCUUGAAACACGGA
rnacentral:rRNA from 1 species